rnacentral:rRNA from 1 species
UACGUAGGAGGCGAGCGUUGUCCGGAAUUACUGGGUGUAAAGCGCGUGUAGGCGGUGAGUUAAGUCUGUUGUGAAAGCGCCCGGCUCAACCGGGCAGAGUCAAUGGAAACUAGCGCACUGGAGGUCGGUAGAGGCGAGUGGAAUUUCCUGUGUAGCGGUGAAAUGCGUAGAUAUAGGAAGGAACACCAGUGGCGAAGGCGACCACCUGGACUGAUACUGACACUGAGGUGCGAAAGCGUGGGGAGCAAACAGG